rnacentral:lncRNA from 12 species
GGGCGGCCCUGCUCCGGGCGAGGCCGGGGAGUUCGGCGCUGGAGCAGGGAGCGCUGCCGGCAGAGCCCCGGGAACAGCCCCGCGUGCGCCGGCUGCCGCUGCCCGGCAGCGCAUCCCGAACGAGCCAUCAAACCGGCCCCAACAGACAUCGGGAGAUUCGGGGUUGGCCUACAGUGUUUGGAAUUGGUAGCUCCGGGCGAGGCUCCCCUCGGAGCGGCGUACUAGUCCUGAUACCAUCUUAUCAACCUUUCCCGGCUAUUUAAUGUGCAACACACAUUAAAACAACACAUCACAGCCCCCACGCAUCUACUCCUCAGGAGUAACAAAGCACGUGCCAGAGCAUGCCUAGAAGGGGGAAUGCCUUAGAGCAGACAGGCCACAGGCUGGCAUCCGUACACGUCUCAGAAUUACCAAAUUAUUGCGGUGUCUUAUCUUAAAGCACCUGUCGUUACAUGGUAAAUUACAUCUCUCAGAGAGCAAGCUGAACUCCCCUUGAAAGCCCAACAGUUAAUCAGUUCAGUGCACUGAACAGCGCUUUGAAAAGGGUCCGCUGCCAGUGUAUGACACUAUGCACCUUUCAGAUGAUCCUUUGGUCACUCCUUGAGCCCGUUUCUGAGGUGACUGUGAUCCAAGGAGACGUUCUAGGAAAAUCUGAAGCCUACUACAGGGGAUAUAAUACCUCUUUGGCAGCUUUCAGCAAUGUGGAAAGUUUAAGGUAACUGUGACUGAAAGUCCCUCCAGCUAUAUCCAGAACUUCAGUAAACAAUGUGAAUGGAAAUUCAGUCAAGACCCGUGCUUGUUCCCUACAGACUGCCUCCACAGCAGCAGACAGCUAAAUGUGGAUACGCGUGAGUUAAUCCAGAAACUUGUACACAAAUUAUUCACAGGGGGGAAAUUUAACUCCAUAACCAAACUAUCAAACUGCCACAACAGUUGUUUAUGUUGCACUAAUACCAGAAACCUAACUUAAGGGUGAGAUCCCAUUGCAACUAGUGCAAUCACUGCCCCAGGAAAAUUGCAGACUGUUUUCUAGACAAAGUACACAAAGGCCAUAAAAUCAAUUAACA